CAGGCAGCGGUCCAGCUCCUUGUACGAGCGCGAUCCCGGCGACAGAGCUCCGAUUAGUGCUGAUGUCGGUGCGUCGGGAACCAAUCUGGUGCCAAGCUCCGCCUCUUCCGCGACGACCAAUCGCGUCGAGGGAACGGCCGGCGUGGACACGCCUCCCCCCGGCGCAUUUCGACAGAAUGGAAAACUGUUUCCGGUUGCUUUCGUCGUGUUGGUUGGGGGAAACCAACAGGGACGUGUGCCAAAUGACAUUCUUAAACAUCAAUUUGCUGCUCUCAUUCCUUGAGUGAAAGCCAAUCAGAGAAGGGUACAAACGGAUGGAGAUUUGUGUUUUUAUUUUAUUUUUUCAAGAGUACAUUUCUAAUGAUUAAGGUGGAUAUUUAGUUUAUGGAUGAAAAAAAUGAAUAUAAUAUUGUAUCUGCUCAAAAAGUGCCUCAUUUUCAGAUUGUAGCCAUUUUACAAAGAACUUCAAAACGGAAGUUUUUAUGUUUUUUUCGUGCUUGAUUUAAUGUAAAAAAAUGCAGCAGUAGAUAAAGAUAAAAGGGUGUGAGCUUCUGCUGCGUGCGUCGUCACAACGGAUGAUUCUGAUACCUGCAACCCGCGGGGAUCAGUUGAAAAUGACUGCAUGUUGAAUAUAACGCAACAUCCGUCAAAUGUACUUGUGCGUUGUCGCGUCUAACUUUCAGAAGUUGGAAACUGGAAAACACAAUAAAUCCGAUGCGACGUGAAUGGGGCAUUUUGCUAACGUUAACAAUGAUAAUGGUACUAGCCGAUCUGCUGGCCUUCCUGCCUACUGUGAGAAACGUUAGCAUAGCCUGUGUUAACAUUCGGCUCCCAUUCGGUCGUUUUAUCUUCCCGUUGACUUUUUUUUAACAAAGCCAUACACCUAGAAUAUUAAACACAGGCGUGAAGCGAAGGGGAAUACGGUAGCUCGCCAGUUAGCUUAAGCCACCCAGGUCAGAUUAGCCUAUUAGCAGGUUGCCAGGACAUAAAUUCGGCAUCCUGCUGAGUCACAGCUCGGGUUGAGACCCCUGACACGGAGCCACGGUAUCCCAUUAGCGCUAUUAGCUCCAGACACUUGUGUACGACUUAGUCCACUUUGUCUCAGGAGGGUAAAUGACCUUAGGUACUUACAGCGGAGGAUAGGGACCCUAUCAAUAGCCAUGCUGAUGCUACCCUCUUAGCACGGGGGAAAAGGAGGUCGCCUUAUAUCUCAAUUCAAUGCUACGUAAUGACAAAAUGGAUCCGCUAAGUUGUUCUCAGUUAUUUUGUACAUUAAGGUACUAAAGUUGAAGAUUAUACACUUUUUAUAAGUUAUAAUUUUGAAACGGGUUGGACUCAAGGUGCUUUGACCGUAAAUCCGUCUUAAAAGGCUCCGUUUCCAUCUUCGUCCCUCCAUUCAGUUCUUUUGCUCAGCUCUCACUUCAAUCUCCGCUAUGCAUCAGCACUAAAGUGCCUGUCUCUCCCUUCCCCUGCUUAGCAGCUAGUACCAAUAGCGCUGUCCUAGCACAAUAUAUGAUCAAGUCUAUUUUCGUGUCUCUUUUUGUCUCUUUCGGCUGCGCAGUUGUCAAGAAAUAUCGUGUUCACGUGACAGUGAUCCCUCAGGCGGCUUGACCGAAAGCCACGGCCCUAAUCGGGGGAGAUUUGGACCGUUUCGCUCUGCCGCUAAAGGAGGACUUAAUUGUCGCAGGGCCGUCGGUGCCAAAACCCAACAACAACAACAACAACAGGCUCCGACAGCACCUCAAGAAGCCACCUUCAGCUCGCAGAACUGGACGUAUUGCUUUGUUUUGUUUUUAAAAGUGUAACUUUUUGUGACGUAUCUGCCCUCCCGGUGUGCUCUUGCGAGGCUCGGGGAUAACGUUCAUCGCGAGGCCUCGCGCACGCGCUCUGGCCUUGACUUUCCCAACCGGAGGAAGAAAAAUGUAAAUAAAAAAAUAAUAAUAAUCCAUGUGCAUCAGUGUAGCUCCACGUUUCACUCGUGUGUUUGUCUGCGCCUCUCGGGAAGUUCAUGAACUCGCUCACUCUGGUCACGUGACUGGGGAGAACACAACAAUGCAGCUUUAUCAUGAGCAGAUUGGGAUCCGUGGUUGGAUUUGGCCCUAAUAGCGGUUACUAAUGCAGAAGUGGGGGCGCCGGGGGGAGCAAUUGGACUUCAAAUCAGAUUCAGCAUAUAAAUCACAGACUUUCAUGGGGACUCGCAGGCAAACACAUGAUACUUGAUUUAUUUAUAAUGUCUUCUGGAGAUGUUCUCGUGCUGAAACUCAGCAGUGUUUACGGCCAAGUGCUCGAGGGUUCUUUGUGUUAAAAAAAAAAAAGAAAAGUGUAAAAUCAGGCUUUCGGUCCUGCAAAGUGGACGUCAUCAUCCUGCCAUUUAGAGCCCACAUUGAGUUCUGAGCAACAUUUGAAUGAAGUUUUUAUUUUUUUUCCCACAUAUCACAGACUAAGAGCUCAGACACACGCGGUUCAAUAGUUUUGGAGGCUGCAUGAUUUUAUUCCGAGCAUCGGUUUGCGAGAUGUUCACAAAAUGUGCAGGAAAGCGCUGCUGUUGCUCUACAUUGUUUUUUUCUCUUCCUCCUGUUCCCCGCAGGGAUGGUAUUUAAUGGGAAUGUUGUGAGAUUUGCCAUUGAUGUAGAGAGUUUUACUUCUGUUGCUUUAGGAGAAAAAAAGUAAAAGGACUUGUGGUUU
ensembl:lncRNA